UUAUCCUUAUUGAACCUCAUCAGAUUUCUUUUGGCCCAAUCCUCCAAUUUGUCUAGGUCCCUCUGUAUCCUAUCCCUGCCCUCCAGCAUAUCUACCACUCGUCCUAGUUUAGUAUCAUCCGCAACAAUGUUCCCUAACAAUGUGGCUUUGAACUUUAUCAAUCUGUCUCAGGCGUGUUUGAAAUGUCUCAUUCCAUUUCUCACAGGUUCAGGAGAAGCCUCCUCCCCGCACUGGUGAAGCAGUGGCUUCUAAACCACAACCAGAACCACAGGCCCCAGACCCACCGCAAAGAUCUCCUGCUUCUUUGUAUGAUGGCCAAAAGGGACAAGAAGGAGAAAUAGAGUCCGUGCUAGUUGGCCCAGGCCAGAAGCAGAGCUCCACCGAGUGAGGCUGCUCCAAAGAAAUGCCCUGGAGAAGUAACGUCUCUGUCAAGGUUUCUUCCCCGCUCUGAACUCCAGGGUACAGAUGUGGGGACCUGCAU